UCUGAAUAGGGCGCUUAGUCAGAUGCUGCAGACCCGAAACGAAGUGAUCUAUCCAUGAGCAAGUUGAAGCUAGUGUAAGAACUAGUGGAGGACUGAACCCAUAGGCGUUGAAAAGCCCCGGGAUGACUUGUGGAUAGGGGUGAAAGGCCAAUCAAACUUCGUGAUAGCUGGUUCUCUCCGAAAUAUAUUUAGGUAUAGCGUUGUGUCGUAAUAUAAGGGGGUAGAGCACUGAAUGGGCUAGGGCAUACACCAAUGUACCAAACCCUAUCAAACUCCGAAUACCUUAUAUGUAAUCACAGCAGUCAGGCGGCGAGUGAUAAAAUCCGUCGUCAAGAGGGAAACAACCCAGACUACCAGCUAAGGUCCCUAAAUCUUACUUAAGUGGAAAACGAUGUGAAGUUACUUAAACAACCAGGAGGUUGGCUUAGAAGCAGCCAUCCUUUAAAGAAAGCGUAAUAGCUCACUGGUCUAGUGAUUUUGCGCGGAAAAUAUAACGGGGCUAAAGUAAGUACCGAAGCUGUAGACUUGCACACAACUUAGAUUAUUUAAGUUUAGAAUAUGAGAAACUAAGUUAUAUGUUUAGUUAUAUUUUUACUGAUUUUUAUAGAGUAAAGAUAGAAAUAAAACUUAGUAAAAUCAGUAAAAAUAUUCUUAGGCUAAAGUUAAGUAGUUUAAGUUGUGUGCAAGUGGUAGGAGAGCGUUCUAUUUGCGUCGAAGGUAUACCGGUAAGGAGUGCUGGAGCGAAUAGAAGUGAGCAUGCAGGCAUGAGUAGCGAUAAUUAAUGUGAGAAUCAUUAACGCCGUAAACCCAAGGUUUCCUACGCGAUGCUCGUCAUCGUAGGGUUAGUCGGGUCCUAAGUCGAGUCCGAAAGGGGUAGACGAUGGCAAAUUGGUUAAUAUUCCAAUACCAACAUUAGUGUGCGAUGGAAGGACGCUUAGGGCUAAGGGGGCUAGCGGAUGGAAGUGCUAGUCUAAGGUUGUAGGAGGUUAUACAGGCAAAUCCGUAUAACAAUACUCCGAGAACUGAAAGGCUUUUUGAAGUCUUCGGAUGGAUAGAAGAACCCCUGAUGCCGUCGAGCCAAGAAAAGUUUCUAAGUUUAGCUAAUGUUGCCCGUACCGUAAACCGACACAGGUGGGUGGGAUGAGUAUUCUAAGGCGCGUGGAAGAACUCUCUUUAAGGAACUCUGCAAAAUAGCACCGUAUCUUCGGUAUAAGGUGUGGUUAGCUUCGUACUAGGAUUUACUCCGAAAGCGAAGAAACUUACAACAAAGAGUCCCUCCCGACUGUUUACCAAAAACACAGCACUCUGCUAACUCGUAAGAGGAUGUAUAGGGUGUGACGCCUGCCCGGUGCUCGAAGGUUAAUUGAUGGGGUUAGCAUUAGCGAAGCUCUUGAUCGAAGCCCGAGUAAACGGCGGCCGUAACUAUAACGGUCCUAAGGUAGCGAAAUUCCUUGUCGGUUAAAUACCGACCUGCAUGAAUGGCGUAACGAGAUGGGAGCUGUCUCAAAGAGGGAUCCAGUGAAAUUGUAGUGGAGGUGAAAAUUCCUCCUACCCGCGGCAAGACGGAAAGACCCCGUGGACCUUUACUACAGCUUGACACUGCUAUUUGGAUAAGAAUGUGCAGGAUAGGUGGGAGGCUUUGAGUAUAUGACGCCAGUUGUAUAUGAGCCAUUGUUGAGAUACCACUCUUUCUUAUUUGGGUAGCUAACCAGCUUGAGUUAUCCUCAAGUGGGACAAUGUCUGGUGGGUAGUUUGACUGGGGCGGUCGCCUCCCAAAUAAUAACGGAGGCUUACAAAGGUUGGCUCAGAACGGUUGGAAAUCGUUCGUAGAGUAUAAAGGUAUAAGCCAGCUUAACUGCAAGACAUACAAGUCAAGCAGAGACGAAAGUCGGUCUUAGUGAUCCGGUGGUUCUGUGUGGAAGGGCCAUCGCUCAAAGGAUAAAAGGUACCCCGGGGAUAACAGGCUGAUCUCCCCCAAGAGCUCACAUCGACGGGGAGGUUUGGCACCUCGAUGUCGGCUCAUCGCAUCCUGGGGCUGGAGCAGGUCCCAAGGGUAUGGCUGUUCGCCAUUUAAAGCGGUACGCGAGCUGGGUUCAGAACGUCGUGAGACAGUUCGGUCCCUAUCUGCCGUGGGCGUAAGAAGAUUGAAGAGAUUUGACCCUAGUACGAGAGGACCGGGUUGAACAAACCACUGGUGUAGCUGUUGUUCUGCCAAGAGCAUCGCAGCGUAGCUAAGUUUGGAAAGGAUAAACGCUGAAAGCAUCUAAGCGUGAAGCCAACUCUAAGAUGAAUCUUCUCUAAGCUCUCUAGAAGACUACUAGUUUGAUAGGCUGGGUGUGUAAUGGAUGAAAGUCCUUUAGCUGACCAGUACUAAUAGAGCGUUUGGCUUAUCUUUAAUAAAGCAU
rnacentral:rRNA from 1 species